rnacentral:rRNA from 1 species
CCUACGGGCGGCAGCAGUGAGGAAUAGUGGUCAAUGGGCGUAAGCCGGAACCAGCCAAGUCGCGGGAGGGAUGAAGGUUCUAUGGAUUGUAAACCUCUUUUAUAAGGGAAUAAAGUGUGGGACGUGUCCCGUUUUGUAUGUACCUUAUGAAUAAGGAUCGGCUAACUCCGUGCCAGCAGCCGCGGUAAUACGGAGGGUCCGAGCGUUAUCCGGAUUUAUUGGGUUUAAAGGGUGCGUAGGCGGCCUUUUAAGUCAGCGGUGAAAGUCUGUGGCUCAACCGUAGAAUUGCCGUUGAAACUGGGAGGCUUGAGUAUGUUUGAGGCAGGCGGAAUGCGUGGUGUAGCGGUGAAAUGCUUAGAUAUCACGCAGAACCCCGAUUGCGAAGGCAGCCUGC